rnacentral:rRNA from 1 species
UAUACGCCAGUGCUAGGUGCGGUGGUAAGACGUGGUGUGCAAGCGUUAGUCUGAGUUGUUGGAGUUAAAGGGUCCGUAGGCGGACCGAUAAGUCAGGGGUGAAAGGCGACAUCUUAACUGCAGAACUGCCGUUGAUACUGUCGGGCUUGAGUGUGGGUGAUGUAGCUGGAAUGAGUAGUGGAGCGGUGAAAUGCAUAGAUAUUACUCAGAACACCAAUUGCGAAGGCAGGUUACCAAGUCACAACUGACGCUGAUGGACGAAAGCGUGGGGAGCGAACAGGAUUAGAUACCCUUGUAGUC